rnacentral:rRNA from 1 species
UACAGAGGGGGUAAGCGUUGUUCGGAAUUACUGGGCGUAAAGGGCUCGUAGGCGGCCAACUAAGUCAGACGUGAAAUCCCUCAGCUUAACUGGGGAACUGCGUCUGAUACUGGAUGGCUUGGAUUUGGGAGAGGGAUGCGGAAUUCCAGGUGUAGCGGUGAAAUGCGUAGAUAUCUGGAGGAACACCGGUGGCGAAGGCGGCAUCCUGGACCAAUAUUGACGCUGAGGAGCGAAAGCCAGGGGAGCAAACGGG